rnacentral:misc_RNA from 1 species
AACUUUUGGCAAUGGAUCACUUGGCUCUCGCAUCGAUGAAGAACGCAGCGAAAUGCGAUAAGUAAUGUGAAUUGCAGAAUUCAGUGAACCAUCGAAUCUUUGAACGCACCUUGCACCCUUUGGCAUUCCGAAGGGUAUGCUCGUUUGAGUGUCAUUGUACUCUCACACUCCCGAUCUUUGGAUUGGGAGUGGUGGACUUGGGUGUUGCUGCUUCACCGUGGCUCACCUCAAAUGGAGUAGUGCAACUCUUGGUUGGACAUAGUACGGCGUGAUAAGUGUCUUCGCCGGCACCACACUAGAGGGUGGCUGAUCAGGAGCUCUGUGCUUCAAACCGUCUUCGGACAACUACUGACAACUUGACCUCAAAUCGAGUAGGACCACCCGCUGAACUUAAGCAUAUCAAUAAGCGGAGGCU